rnacentral:misc_RNA from 1 species
GAAAUGCGAUAAUUAAUGUGAAUUGCAGAAUUCAGUGAAUCAUCGAGUCUUUGAACGCACAUUGCGCCCCCUGGUAUUCCGGGGGGCAUGCCUGUCCGAGCGUCAUUGCUGCCCUCAAGCACGGCUUGUGUGUUGGGCUUCCGUCCCUGGCAACGGGGACGGGCCCAAAAGGCAGUGGCGGCACCAUGUCUGGUCCUCGAGCGUAUGGGGCUUUGUCACCCGCUCCCGUAGGUCCAGCUGGCAGCUAGCCUCGCAACCAAUCUUUUUAACCAGGUUGACCUCGGAUCAGGUAGGGAUACUCGCUGAACUUAAGC